rnacentral:rRNA from 1 species
CAGCAGCAGCCACGGGAAUACAGAGGGUGCGAGCGUUAAUCGGAUUUACUGGGCGUAAAGCGUGCGUAGGCGGCUUUUUAAGUCGGAUGUGAAAUCCCUGAGCUUAACUUAGGAAUUGCAUUCGAUACUGGGAAGCUAGAGUAUGGGAGAGGAUGGUAGAAUUCCAGGUGUAGCGGUGAAAUGCGUAGAGAUCUGGAGGAAUACCGAUGGCGAAGGCAGCCAUCUGGCCUAAUACUUACGCUGAGGUACGAAAGCAUGGGGAGCAAACAGGAUUAGAUACCCCGGUAGUCCCUGUCUCUUAUAC